AUGGCUUCUGACUUGUGGACGUUGCAAAACCCUGUCUUUGCGUUUUACUCGUUCUGUGCCUCCGUAUUGCUGUUCAAAACGUUAAUUAUGUCCAUUUACACUGGACGUACAAGACACAAGUAUAAGAGCUUUUCCUGGCCCGAGGAUAAUGUGAUGCAUGGAAUAAAAGAAGAGGUGAAGCCACCUCACCCUGCUGUGGAACGAAUUCGCAGUUGUCACCGAAAUGAUCUUGAAAACAUUGUGCCAUUCUGCAUAAUUGGUCUUCUUUACACCUUGACAAAUCCCUCUCUGCUGACAGCGAGGUUACUUUUUGGUGCAUAUACAGUGGCUCGUUUAUUUCACACAGUUGUCUUUGUGAAGCUACAUCUGCAGCCUUAUCGUGCCUUUUCCUUUUUGUUUUCCUAUUUCAUUACUUUUGUUCUGCUCAUUUCCUUUUUUAUACAUGUACUGAGUUAUAUCUAGUGUAGCUCUACUGCUACCAAAUUACUGUUGAGUUCUUGAGCAUGAAUAUACCAAAUGUUCUUCGCUAAAUGAAAGUAAUUUUUGAUACUUAAGAUCAUGAUAAUUAACCUACUGGGUUUUCUAUUAGGGGGCUAAUUUAAUUAGAUCAAUAAAAUCAUUCAUAGUUUUUUCCAAAAUCCAGAGAAAUUAGGCGAUGAAAUGAAGACAUAUCUUAGACAAUAGUAUAUUAAUUUGAUAUUAAUAUUAAUAGUGUGAGUACUAAUAUCUAGAGAUUUUUGAAAUAGAUUUAUUUUUAGUAAUCUAAAUAUCUAACAAUUGAAAUACCAAUGUGUUCUAUUUUUGUACCCACUAAGGGAGGGUAAUUUGGGUAAAGUCAAUAAAAAUUUAAGUCAAUACAGCCAAUAAAUAUUUAAAUUCACCUCUGAAAAUAGACAUUUUAUUUUAAAUUCCCCCUCACUUAUCAACACUGAACAGCUGUAAACUUUUACAGCCAAUCUUUGACGUUAGACUCAAUAGACUGACUGACUAAGUCAUUGCGUGAUGCAUGCUGUGGGCAUCCCCCCCACACACCCUCAGGGUAAAUUUUGAAGUACACGCUCUUUGGACCUUUGGUCUUAGUUCUGACACUAUAAUUUGUAACUUUUGGUUGUAAAUUCUGUCCUCUGUAGUAUAUAAAUUGUUUUCUAUUUACGAUGGCGCAAGAUUUGUGGUCGCUGCAAAACCCUGUUUUUGCUUUCUACGUCCUCUGCUCUUCCGUGUUGCUGUUCAAAACAUUGUUCAUGGCCAUUUUGACUGGAUAUGUGAGAAUAACGUACAAGAGCUAUUCAUGGGCAGAAGACAAUGUUUCUGCAGGAGUUAAAGAGGUUAAACCAGAACACCCUGUUGUGGAACGCGUGCGCGGAUGCCAUCGGAAUGACAUUGAAAACAAUGUGCCAUUUGGUAUAAUCGGUCUGCUUUACACCCUGACAAAUCCAUCUGUGUGGAUAGCCAGGUUACUGCUUAGUGGGUUUACAGUGCUACGUUUACUUCAUACAAUCAUCUUUUUGAAGCAACUCGGACAACCUUAUCGAUUCCUUUCCUUUCUGUUUGCUCUCAUCAUUAAUUUUAUAAUGCUUAUCUCUGUUUUCAUACAUGCACUGCCACUGAUAAUCUAGUUUUGAAAUAUUUUGCUUUCUGAAAUCACAUCUGAAAUUGCAUGUAUAAACGUGAUUACAUACACAAAU